rnacentral:sRNA from 1 species
GCCAGGCACGGUGGCACAUGCCUGUAAUCCCAGCAGACUGGGAGGCUGAGGCAGGAGGAUAGGGAGUUAAAAACCAGCCUCAGCAAAAGCAAGAGAGUAAGCAACUCAGUGAGACCCUGUCUCUA